GCCUCCAUGAAGUUGGAUUCGCUAGUAAUCGCGCAUCAGCCAUGGCGCGGUGAAUACGUUCCCGGGCCUUGUACACACCGCCCGUCAAGCCAUGGGAGCCGGGGGUGCCUGAAGUUCGUGACCGCAAGGGGCGACCUAGGGCAAAACUGGUGACUGGGGCUAAGUCGUAACAAGGUAGC
rnacentral:rRNA from 1 species